rnacentral:rRNA from 1 species
AUUGAACGCUGGCGGCAUGCCUUACACAUGCAAGUCGAACGGCAGCACGGGAGCAAUCCUGGUGGCGAGUGGCGAACGGGUGAGUAAUAUAUCGGAACGUGCCCAGUAGUGGGGGAUAACAGCUCGAAAGAGCAGCUAAUACCGCAUACGACCUGAGGGUGAAAGGGGGGGAUCGCAAGACCUCUCGCUAUUGGAGCGGCCGAUAGCAGAUUAGCUAGUUGGUGGGGUAAAGGCCUACCAAGGCAACGAUCUGUAGUUGGUCUGAGAGGACGACCAGCCACACUGGGACUGAGACACGGCCCAGACUCCUACGGGAGGCAGCAGUGGGGAAUUUUGGACAAUGGGCGCAAGCCUGAUCCAGCAAUGCCGCGUGCAGGAAGAAGGCCUUCGGGUUGCAAACUGCUUUUGUCAGGGAAGAAAUCCUCUAGGUUAAUACCCUUGGGGGGAUGACGGUACCUGAAGAAUAAGCACCGGCUAACUACGUGCCAGCAGCCGCCGCAGUAA